GUUUAUAUAGCUUAAAAUUAAAGCAUGGCACUGAAGAUGCUAACAUGGAUUAUGAUAAUUCUAUAGACA
rnacentral:tRNA from 1 species